CAGGUUCUGGUUGGAAACUUUUUCCGGACAGGAAGGGCCCUGGACUUUAAGCUUUUCGUGGGGUAUGCCAACCCAAUGGGACCAACGUUAUCCGCCUUGAAAGGGCCCCGGCCUAACUGGGACUGAGACCUGGCCUAGGCUCCUACGGGAGGCAGCAGUGGGGAAUAUUGCCCAAUGGGCGCAAGCCUGAUGCAGGGACGCCGCAUAAGGGAUAACGGUCUCCGGUUUGUAAGCUCUUUUACCCAUGACGAAGCGCAAGUGACGGUAGUGGGAGAAGAAGCACCGGCCAACUACGUGCCAGCAGCCGCGGUAAUACGUAGGGUGCGAGCGUUGUCCGGAAUUACUGGGCGUAAAGAGCUCGUAGGCGGUUUGUCGCGUCGUCUGUGAAAUUCCGCAGCUCAACUGCGAGCUUGCAGGCGAUACGAGCAGACUCGAGUACUGCAGGGGAGACUGGAAUUCCUGGUGUAGCGGUGAAAUGCGCAGAUAUCAGGAGGAACACCGGUGGCGAAGGCGGGUCUCUGGGCAGUAACUGACGCUGAGGAGCGAAAGCGUGGGUAGCGAACAGGAUUAGAUACCCUGGUAGUCCACGCCGUAAACGGUGGGCGCUAGGUGUGGGUUUCCUUCCACGGGAUCCGUGCCGUAGCCAACGCAUUAAGCGCCCGCCUGGGGAGUACGGCCGCAAGGCUAAAACUCAAAGGAAUUGACGGGGGCCCGCACAAGCGGCGGAGCAUGUGGAUUAAUUCGAUGCAACGCGAAGAACCUUACCUGGGUUUGACAUGUACCGGACGACUGCAGAGAUGUGGUUUCCCUUGUGGCCGGUAGACAGGUGGUGCAUGGCUGUCGUCAGCUCGUGUCGUGAGAUGUUGGGUUAAGUCCCGCAACGAGCGCAACCCUUGUCCUGUGUUGCCAGCACGUGAUGGUGGGGACUCGCAGGAGACUGCCGGGGUCAACUCGGAGGAAGGUGGGGACGACGUCAAGUCAUCAUGCCCCUUAUGUCCAGGGCUUCACACAUGCUACAAUGGUCGGUACAGAGGGCUGCGAUACCGUGAGGUGGAGCGAAUCCCUUAAAGCCGAUCUCAGUUCGUAUCGGGGUCUCCAUCUCGACUACGUGAAGUCGGAGAAGCUGUA
rnacentral:rRNA from 1 species